rnacentral:rRNA from 1 species
UACGUAGGGGCCUAGCGUUGUCCGGAAUUAUUGGGCGUAAAGAGCUCGUAGGCGGUUCGGCAAGUCGGAUGUGAAAUCUCCACGCUUAACGUGGAGGGGCCAUUCGAAACUGCUGUGACUCGAGUGCCGGUAGGGGAGUGUGGAAUUCCCGGUGUAGCGGUGAAAUGCGCAGAUAUCAGGAGGAACACCGGUGGCGAAGGCGGGUCUCUGGGCAGUAACUGACGCUGAGGAGCGAAAGCGUGGGGAGCGAACAGG